AACGUAGGAGACAAACGUUAUCCGGAGUUACUGGGCGUAAAGGGCGUGCAGGUGGCGUUAUAAGUCUGACGUGAAAGCACACGGCUUAACCGGGUGAUUGCGUUGGAUACUGUAAAGCUAGAGGACGGUAGAGGCGUGUGGAAUUCCGGGUGUAGUGGUGAAAUGCGUAGAUAUCCGGAGGAACACCAGUGGCGAAGGCGACACGCUGGGCCGUACCUGACACUGAGACGCGACAGCAUGGGGAGCAAACGGG
rnacentral:rRNA from 1 species